GGCUGUUGUUUGCAGCAGGCUCGCCUGAAAUUUAUGAGCAGUUUCGUCUUUGGAAACUUGGCUUGACUUGGCGUAGUAAAUAUUUCGCUGAGGACAACCUCUCAUCGAGGUUGGCCAAGUUCUUUAGAGGAAGGGCUUCCAAUGAAACUAUUUAAAAAUUCUUUGACAUCGAAUCAGAUAGGACUACCCGCUGAACUUAA
rnacentral:misc_RNA from 1 species